CUAAACCUGGGACAGCGUUUGGUCUGGCAGGGGGAAGUUCGGGGGAGGAUGGGGGAAUUCCCCGUGUGGGGGGGGAAAUUUUUAGUUAUGGGGAAAAACCCCGGUGGGGAAGGCGGCCAUCUGGACCGCCAUGGCGGUGAGGCGGGAAAGCGGGGGGGGCAAACAGGAUUAGAUACCCUGGUAGUCCACCCCGUAAACGAUGUGUGGUAGACGUCGGGGGGCUUGCCAUUCGGUGUCGCCGCUAUAGCAUUAAGCACUCUGCCUGCAGAUUACGGUUUCAAGAUUAAAACUUUAAGAAUCUGACGGGGGCCCGCACGAGCGGUGGAGCAUGUGGUCUAAUUGGAAGCAACGGGAACUGCCUUACCAGCCCAUGACAUGGGCGUGCGGGGUUCCAGAGUUGGGACCCUGCAGUUCGCUUGGACUCCACACAGUUUCUUCAUGGCUGUCGUGUAACUCGUGUUGUGUGUUAUCGGCAAAAAUCGUCCAACGAGAGCCAGGCCUAUCUUCAGUCGGCGUCGGGGGAUGUCGGGCACUCCGGAGAAACUGUAGUUCACAAGCGGGCGGAAGGUGGGAGUAUCGCCAAGUCUUCAUCGCCUGUGCGGGCGGGCCUCCUCUCAGGCCACAUGGGCGUGGUCAUAGGGUAGGGCCGGGGCGACCUGGACACAAUGCUUAAACACCAUCUCAUCUUGGAUUGUAUCCUGCAACUCGAGUUCUUGAAGUUAGAAUUGGUUGUAAUCGCGGAUCAGCACGGUGUUGUGAAUAUUUUCCCGGGCCUAGUACACACCGCCCGUCACGUCAUGGGAGUUGGUUCUACUCGAAGCCGGUGGGCUAACCCGUAAGGGUGGAAUUGCAUCUGUUAAGCGUGCCGCCAGGGUUUGAUGUGAUCCCAGAUUAAACUUCGAAUA
rnacentral:rRNA from 1 species